UGGGGAAUAUUGGACAAUGGGCGCAAGCCUGAUCCAGCAAUGCCGCGUGUGUGAAGAAGGCCUUCGGGUUGUAAAGCACUUUUAUCAGGAGCGAAACGCUGUCGGCUAAUACCCGGCGGAACUGACGGUACCUGAGGAAUAAGCACCGGCUAACUUCGUGCCAGCAGCCGCGGUAAUACGAAGGGUGCAAGCGUUAAUCGGAAUUACUGGGCGUAAAGCGUGCGUAGGCGGUUUCUUAAGUCUGCUGUGAAAUCCCCGGGCUCAACCUGGGAAUGGCAGUGGAUACUGGGAGGCUAGAGUGUGUCAGAGGGUGGUGGAAUUCCCGGUGUAGCGGUGAAAUGCGUAGAGAUCGGGAGGAACAUCAGUGGCGAAGGCGGCCACCUGGGACAACACUGACGCUGAGGCACGAAAGCGUGGGGAGCAAACAGGAUUAGAUACCCUGGUAGUCCACGCCCUAAACGAUGCGAACUGGAUGUUGGUCUCAACUCGGAGAUCGGUGUCGAAGCUAACGCGUUAAGUUCGCCGCCUGGGGAGUACGGUCGCAAGACUGAAACUUAAAUGAAUUGAC
rnacentral:rRNA from 1 species